GCUUAACACAUGCAAGUCGAGGGGCAGCAUGGUCUUAGCUUGCUAAGGCCGAUGGCGACCGGCGCACGGGUGAGUAACACGUAUCCAACCUGCCGUCUACUCUUGGACAGCCUUCUGAAAGGAAGAUUAAUACAAGAUGGCAUCAUGAGUCCGCAUGUUCACAUGAUUAAAGGUAUUCCGGUAGACGAUGGGGAUGCGUUCCAUUAGAUAGUAGGCGGGGUAACGGCCCACCUAGUCUUCGAUGGAUAGGGGUUCUGAGAGGAAGGUCCCCCACAUUGGAACUGAGACACGGUCCAAACUCCUACGGGAGGCAGCAGUGAGGAAUAUUGGUCAAUGGGCGAGAGCCUGAACCAGCCAAGUAGCGUGAAGGAUGACUGCCCUAUGGGUUGUAAACUUCUUUUAUAAAGGAAUAAAGUCGGGUAUGCAUACCCGUUUGCAUGUACUUUAUGAAUAAGGAUCGGCUAACUCCGUGCCAGCAGCCGCGGUAAUACGGAGGAUCCGAGCGUUGUCCGGAUUUAUUGGGUUUAAAGGGAGCGUAGAUGGAUGUUUAAGUCAGUUGUGAAAGUUUGCGGCUCAACCGUAAAAUUGCAGUUGAUACUGGAUAUCUUGAGUGCAGUUGAGGCAGGCGGAAUUCGUGGUGUAGCGGUGAAAUGCUUAGAUAUCACGAAGAACUCCGAUUGCGAAGGCAGCCUGCUAAGCUGCAACUGACAUUGAGGCUCGAAAGUGUGGGUAUCAAACAGGAUUAGAUACCCUGGUAGUCCACACGGUAAACGAUGAAUGCUCGCUGUUUGCGAUAUACGGCAAGCGGCCAAGCGAAAGCGUUAAGUAUUCCACCUGGGGAGUACGCCGGCAACGGUGAAACUCAAAGGAAUUGACGGGGGCCCGCACAAGCGGAGGAACAUGUGGUUUAAUUCGAUGAUACGCGAGGAACCUUACCCGGGCUUAAAUUGCAGAUGAAUUACGGUGAAAGCCGUAAGCCGCAAGGCAUCUGUGAAGGUGCUGCAUGGUUGUCGUCAGCUCGUGCCGUGAGGUGUCGGCUUAAGUGCCAUAACGAGCGCAACCCUUGUUGUCAGUUACUAACAGGUUCCGCUGAGGACUCUGACAAGACUGCCAUCGUAAGAUGUGAGGAAGGUGGGGAUGACGUCAAAUCAGCACGGCCCUUACGUCCGGGGCUACACACGUGUUACAAUGGGGGGUACAGAGGGCCGCUACCACGCGAGUGGAUGCCAAUCCCAAAAACCUCUCUCAGUUCGGACUGGAGUCUGCAACCCGACUCCACGAAGCUGGAUUCGCUAGUAAUCGCGCAUCAGCCACGGCGCGGUGAAUACGUUCCCGGGCCUUGUACACACCGCCCGUCAAGCCAUGGGAGCCGGGGGUACCUGAAGUGCGUAACCGCGAGGAGCGCCCUAGGGUAAAACUGGUGACUGGGGCUAAG
rnacentral:rRNA from 1 species